UGGCGAGAAAAUUAAAUGUUUGUGAAUUGCCCCAGAUCUACUAGAUUUAAUCAACCUAGCAACACAUUCAGUAUAAUAGGCAAGAUAAUAGGCGAGAUAAGGAGAGAGAAGAUGCCCACUACAGGUUCACAAUGGUGGAUAGAGGUACCACAGCAGCAAGUCCUCAUGUUUUAAUGGGAGAUGCAGCUUUCCCUCUACAUGAUAGUCUACCUGGAUAAGGGCGCAUGAGGCUAUAUACACAAAGUUUGGGGAAGGCCCUUUCCUGUUUCAGCAUGACAAUGCCCCCGUGCACAAAGCGAGGUCAAUACUGUGGAAGGACCACCAGAGGGCAGGCUGGGCUCACGGAUAGUAGCCCAACAAGGCAUGGGAGACAUGGUAACCAGAGUCAAUUAAGCACAGCUCACGGUACUAAUGACAUAUUCUCCUUCCCCUAUAAGAGAGAGUAUGGAACCAGCAGAGAGGGGAGGACACUAUCUCUGGAAGAUGGCCACCGAGACAGAGGAGCUAUCCAUGAAGAACCACUAAGACGGUGACAAGCCCGUGACUUUUGUUGUAGUUUAAAGAUAAUCAUAUUGUGUUCCUGUUUCAUCUGGAGAAGAAGAUGUAUGUUUUUCCUUGGGAGAUUUUCAUUGAUUAUGUUGGAGUGUUUGUGUUGACCAAAUGCCCUCAAUAGAGAACUGUGUUC